UCCCUCUCACGCCGACUCACCCUCGGGCCCGUCUGACCGGUGCUCGACUCUACCGACCGCACCGACCGACAACUGCCGACACCGUCCGACCGAAGGUAUGUCGGUCGGGCAGACCCUUUCCGUUUUCGACUGGUCGAACGGCGGAGCCCAAUGUCCGACUCCCGCAACGCGCCAGACUGAUCGUCGGAGGGUCCCUGGGUCUUCACCCGAUAUCCCACAACCAAAUGCCGAUGUAUGGUAAGUCGGCUCCCCC
rnacentral:lncRNA from 1 species